rnacentral:rRNA from 1 species
UACGAAGGGGGCUAGCGUUGCUCGGAAUCACUGGGCGUAAAGCGCACGUAGGCGGGUUGUUUAGUCGGGGGUGAAAUCCUGGAGCUCAACUCCAGAACUGCCUUCGAUACUGGCGACCUUGAGUCCGGGAGAGGUGAGUGGAACUCCGAGUGUAGAGGUGAAAUUCGUAGAUAUUCGGAAGAACACCAGUGGCGAAGGCGGCUCACUGGCCCGGUACUGACGCUGAGGUGCGAAAGCGUGGGGAGCAAACAGG